UACGUAGGGUGCGAGCGUUGUCCGGAAUUACUGGGCGUAAAGAGCUCGUUGGCGGUUUGUCGCGUCGUCUGUGAAAACCCGCAGCUCAACUGCGGGCUUGCAGGCGAUACGGGCAGACUCGAGUACUGCAGGGGAGACUGGAAUUCCUGGUGUAGCGGUGAAAUGCGCAGAUAUCAGGAGGAACACCGGUGGCGAAGGCGGGUCUCUGGGCAGUAACUGACGCUGAGGAGCGAAAGCGUGGGUAGCGAACAG
rnacentral:rRNA from 1 species